rnacentral:rRNA from 1 species
CUACCAUGCAGUCGAGCGGCAGCGGGUCCUUCGGGAUGCCGGCGAGCGGCGGACGGGUGAGUAAUGCCUAGGAAUCUGCCUGGUAGUGGGGGAUAACGUUCGGAAACGGACGCUAAUACCGCAUACGUCCUACGGGAGAAAGUGGGGGAUCUUCGGACCUCACGCUAUCAGAUGAGCCUAGGUCGGAUUAGCUAGUUGGUGGGGUAAUGGCUCACCAAGGCGACGAUCCGUAACUGGUCUGAGAGGAUGAUCAGUCACACUGGAACUGAGACACGGUCCAGACUCCUACGGGAGGCAGCAGUGGGGAAUAUUGGACAAUGGGCGAAAGCCUGAUCCAGCCAUGCCGCGUGUGUGAAGAAGGUCUUCGGAUUGUAAAGCACUUUAAGUUGGGAGGAAGGGCAGCUAGUUAAUACCUGGUUGUUUUGACGUUACCAACAGAAUAAGCACCGGCUAACUUCGUGCCAGCAGCCGCGGUAAUACGAAGGGUGCAAGCGUUAAUCGGAAUUACUGGGCGUAAAGCGCGCGUAGGUGGUUCAGCAAGUUGGAGGUGAAAUCCCCGGGCUCAACCUGGGAACUGCCUCCAAAACUACUGAGCUAGAGUACGGUAGAGGGUAGUGGAAUUUCCUGUGUAGCGGUGAAAUGCGUAGAUAUAGGAAGGAACACCAGUGGCGAAGGCGACUACCUGGACUGAUACUGACACUGAGGUGCGAAAGCGUGGGGAGCAAACAGGAUUAGAUACCCUGGUAGUCCACGCCGUAAACGAUGUCGACUAGCCGUUGGGAUCCUUGAGAUCUUAGUGGCGAAGCUAACGCGAUAAGUCGACCGCCUGGGGAGUACGGCCGCAAGGUUAAAACUCAAAUGAAUUGACGGGGGCCCGCACAANCGGUGGAGCAUGUGGUUUAAUUCGAAGCAACCCGAAAAACCUUACCUGGCCUUGACAUGCUGANAACUUUCCANAAAUGGAUUGGUGCCUUCNGGAACUCAAACCCAGGUGCUGCAUGGCUGUCCNCNACCUCNUGUCCNGAAAUGUUGGGNUAAAUUCCCGUAACNANCCCAACCCNUUGUCCUUANUUACCACCCCU